UUAAUGGUUUCCUCCUCAACUCGCCGGCAACAAAAACCCAGAAAUGUCGUCUCUUUCGAAGAAAAGGCAUAAACUUUACAGUCGUUUCAGCCACAGAGCAUAAUCCCCUUCUCUAAAUUGGCCGUAUCUUGACUUGGAUUCUCAAAAGCACCUGCUUUAGAUUUGAAUUAGGCAAUAAUUUCUCUACAAUCUCUAGGAGAAGAGCAUAUAAAGGUGUGGAGAACAUUGACAUAUGAUUGGUUUACAGUAAUCCUGCAGAGUCUGAAUCUCUUCCACAUCCACUGCUGUCACACAGUUACUUGCAACCUCCAGCUGCGCUUUCACCUUGUACCAAGUCCAUGCGCCGUGGCACACGCCAUGGACAAGCACAAACUGUUUCUGGUUCUUCUUCUCAAUUGCCUUUCUUACUCUCAACAUCUUGGUUCAACACUUGCAUACAUACGAUACAUCUUUUGUUGGUGGAACUGAAGACUCCAUCUGAGGUCAUUUGUUGGCGUGUUAGCGUUCGUGGUGAUUGUUUCAGUGACCUUCACAGGUUAGAAGUGGUCAUAGUAUAGGCAGGAAUAAGUUAUUGAAACGAGAGAUUAUAAAAGAUUAGUUGAUCGGCUUAGUUAGUUUGGGUGAAAAACUGCUUAGAUUUCUCAAUAUAAGAACUCUUAUUAAUAUAAACAACACCAGUGAGGAUCCUAUAUAUAUUUAGGCAAUAUUUACCUGCUAUCUUUAAACGAGAUGAUGACAAGAAUUAUUGAGGCUUUGAUACAUUGGAUCUUUGAUCCCCCAUCACUUCUUCAACCUCCUUAAUAUUCUUGUUCAUAAUCCUUCUAUGUUUAAAAUCCUUGGGCACACAUUAUCAUAUUUGCAUACAAUAUAACAAACGCGACCAGUCUCCACCCUUUCUCCAUGAAGCUUCAAGUUGUAACUUCACACACCCUAGCAGAAUCCACGGCAAGCACAUACCACUCAUGGUUUAUAGGCAUAUGAUCUACAUUAAUACGAUGCUGGAAAUUUUCAGUGAAGAUCUCAGAUUCAUUUAGGCAUAUUUAUCUGCAAUCUCCAAAAGACGAGUACAGAGUUCUUGAGGCUUGGAGAACAUUGCCAUAUGAUCUGCA